UAGGGAAUCUUCGGCAAUGGACGGAAGUCUGACCGAGCAACGCCGCGUGAGUGAAGAAGGUUUUCGGAUCGUAAAGCCCUGUUGUUAGAGAAGAACGUUGGUAGGAGUGGAAAAUCUACCAAGUGACGGUAACUAACCAGAAAGGGACGGCUAACUACGUGCCAGCAGCCGCGGUAAUACGUAGGUCCCGAGCGUUGUCCGGAUUUAUUGGGCGUAAAGCGAGCGCAGGCGGUUCUUUAAGUCUGAAGUUAAAGGCAGUGGCUUAACCAUUGUAGGCUUUGGAAACUGGGGGACUUGAGUGCAGAAGGGGAGAGUGGAAUUCCAUGUGUAGCGGUGAAAUGCGUAGAUAUAUGGAGGAACACCGGUGGCGAAAGCGGCUCUCUGGUCUGUAACUGACGCUGAGGCUCGAAAGCGUGGGGAGCAAACAGG
rnacentral:rRNA from 1 species